rnacentral:rRNA from 1 species
GACGAACGCUGGCGGCGUGCCUAAUACAUGCAAGUAGAACGCUGAAGGAGGAGCUUGCUUCUCUGGAUGAGUUGCGAACGGGUGAGUAACGCGUAGGUAACCUGCCUGGUAGCGGGGGAUAACUAUUGGAAACGAUAGCUAAUACCGCAUAAUAUUGACUAUUGCAUGAUAGUCAGUUAAAAGGUGCAACUGCACCACUACCAGAUGGACCUGCGUUGUAUUAGCUAGUUGGUGGGGUAACGGCUCACCAAGGCGACGAUACAUAGCCGACCUGAGAGGGUGAUCGGCCACACUGGGACUGAGACACGGCCCAGACUCCUACGGGAGGCAGCAGUAGGGAAUCUUCGGCAAUGGACGGAAGUCUGACCGAGCAACGCCGCGUGAGUGAAGAAGGUUUUCGGAUCGUAAAGCUCUGUUGUAAGAGAAGAACGAGUGUGAGAGUGGAAAGCUCACACUGUGACGGUAUCUUACCAGAAAGGGACGGCUAACUACGUG